AAAAAAUUAGUUAAUUUAAUAACAUUAAUUUGUCAAAUUAAAGUAAAUAACUACCUUAUAUUAUUUUUUU
rnacentral:tRNA from 1 species